GACGAACGCUGGCGGCGUGCCUAAUACAUGCAAGUAGAACGCUGAAGGAGGAGCUUGCUCUUCUGGAUGAGUUGCGAACGGGUGAGUAACGCGUAGGUAACCUGCCUGGUAGCGGGGGAUAACUAUUGGAAACGAUAGCUAAUACCGCAUAAGAGUAGAUGUUGCAUGACAUUUACUUAAAAGGUGCAAUUGCAUCACUACCAGAUGGACCUGCGUUGUAUUAGCUAGUUGGUGGGGUAACGGCUUACCAAGGCGACGAUACAUAGCCGACCUGAGAGGGUGAUCGGCCACACUGGGACUGAGACACGGCCCAGACUCCUACGGGAGACAGCAGUAGGGAAUCUUCGGCAAUGGACGGAAGUCUGACCGAGCAACGCCGCGUGAGUGAAGAAGGUUUUCGGAUCGUAAAGCUCUGUUGUAAGAGAAGAACGAGUGUGAGAGUGGAAAGUUCACACUGUGACGUUAUCUUACCAGAAAGGGACGGCUAACUACGUG
rnacentral:rRNA from 1 species